rnacentral:tRNA from 1 species
AGCGCAGUUGGUAGCGCGCCGGCCUGUGGUACAGAUGGUCCCUGGAUCGAACCUGG